GCACAAGCGGUGGAGCAUGUGGUUCAAUUCGACGCAACGCGAAGAACCUUACCUGGGCUCGAAAUGUAGUGGACCGGAGUAGAAAUAUUCCUUCUCAGCAAUGGGCCGCUAUAUAGGUGCUGCAUGGCUGUCGUCAGCUCGUGUCGUGAGAUGUUGGGUUAAGUCCCGCAACGAGCGCAACCCUUAUCCCCAGUUGCUACCAUUUAGUUGAGCACUCUGACGAAACCGCCUCGGAUAACGGGGAGGAAGGUGGGGAUGACGUCAAGUCCUCAUGGCCUUUAUGUCCAGGGCUACACACGUGCUACAAUGGCCGGUACAAACCGCUGCAAACCCGCGAGGGGGAGCUAAUCGGAAAAAGCCGGCCUCAGUUCGGAUUGGAGUCUGCAACUCGACUCCAUGAAGCUGGAAUCGCUAGUAAUCGUGGAUCAGCAUGCCACGGUGAAUACGUUCCCGGGC
rnacentral:rRNA from 1 species